UACAGAGGUCCCAAGCGUUGUUCGGAUUCACUGGGCGUAAAGGGUGCGUAGGCGGUCGGGUAAGUCUGACGUGAAAUCUUCAAGCUUAACUUGGAAACUGCGUCGGAUACUAUUCGGCUGGAGGAAUGGAGGGGAGACUGGAAUACUUGGUGUAGCAGUGAAAUGCGUAGAUAUCAAGUGGAACACCAGUGGCGAAGGCGGCCAACUGGUCCGGAUCUGACGCUGAGGCGCGAAAGCGUGGGGAGCAAACAGG
rnacentral:rRNA from 1 species